rnacentral:rRNA from 1 species
CGGGAGGCAGCAGUGGGGAAUAUUGGACAAUGGGGGCAACCCUGAUCCAGCCAUGCCGCGUGAAUGAAGAAGGCCUUAGGGUUGUAAAGUUCUUUCGCUAGAGAUGAUAAUGACCGUAUCUAGAUAAGAAGCCCCGGCUAACUCCGUGCCAGCAGCCGCGGUAAUACGGAGGGGGCUAGCGUUGUUCGGAAUUACUGGGCGUAAAGGGUGCGUAGGCUGACACGUAAGUCAGAGGUGAAAUCCCGGGGCUUAACCUCGGAACUGCCUUUGAUACUGCGUGUCUUGAAUGAUAGAGAGGCAAGUAGAAUUCCGAGUGUAGAGGUGAAAUUCGUAGAUAUUCGGAGGAAUACCGGUGGCGAAGGCGGCUUGCUGGCUAUUUAUUGACGCUGAGGCACGAAAGCGUGGGGAUCAAACAGGAUUAGAUACCCUAGU